rnacentral:rRNA from 1 species
AACGAACGCUGGCGGCAUGCCUAAUACAUGCAAGUCGAACGAGAUCUUCGGAUCUAGUGGCGCACGGGUGCGUAACGCGUGGGAAUCUACCCUUGGGUUCGGAAUAACAUCGGGAAACUGAUGCUAAUACCGGAUGAUGACGUAAGUCCAAAGAUUUAUCGCCCAGGGAUGAGCCCGCGUAGGAUUAGCUUGUUGGUGAG